GGGUUGUGAGGUUAAGCGACUAAGCGUACACGGUGGAUGCCCUGGCAGUCAGAGGCGAUGAAGGACGUGCUAAUCUGCGAAAAGCGUCGGUAAGGUGAUAUGAACCGUUACAGCCGGCGAUGUCCGAAUGGGGAAACCCAGUGCAAUUCGUUGCACUAUCGUUAACUGAAUACAUAGGUUAACGAGGCGAACCGGGGGAACUGAAACAUCUAAGUACCCCGAGGAAAAGAAAUCAACCGAGAUUCCCCCAGUAGCGGCGAGCGAACGGGGAGCAGCCCAGAGUCUGAAUCAGCUUGUGUGUUAGUGGAACGGUCUGGAAAGUCCGACGGUACAGGGUGAUAGUCCCGUACACCAAAAUGCACAGGUUGUGAACUCGAAGAGUAGGGCGGGACACGUGGUAUCCUGUCUGAAUAUGGGGGGACCAUCCUCCAAGGCUAAAUACUCCUGACUGACCGAUAGUGAACCAGUACCGUGAGGGAAAGGCGAAAAGAACCCCGGCGAGGGGAGUGAAAAAGAACCUGAAACCGUGUACGUACAAGCAGUGGGAGCACCUUCGGGUGUGACUGCGUACCUUUUGUAUAAUGGGUCAGCGACUUAUAUUCUGUAGCAAGGUUAACCGUAUAGGGGAGCCGCAGGGAAACCGAGUCUUAACUGGGCGUUAAGUUGCAGGGUAUAGACCCGAAACCCGGUGAUCUAGCCAUGGGCAGGUUGAAGGUUGGGUAACACUAACUGGAGGACCGAACCGACUAAUGUUGAAAAAUUAGCGGAUGACUUGUGGCUGGGGGUGAAAGGCCAAUCAAACCGGGAGAUAGCUGGUUCUCCCCGAAAGCUAUUUAGGUAGCGCCUCGUGAACUCAUCUUCGGGGGUAGAGCACUGUUUCGGCUAGGGGGUCAUCCCGACUUACCAACCCGAUGCAAACUACGAAUACCGAAGAAUGUUAUCACGGGAGACACACGGCGGGUGCUAACGUCCGUCGUGAAGAGGGAAACAACCCAGACCGCCAGCUAAGGUCCCAAAGUCAUGGUUAAGUGGGAAACGAUGUGGGAAGGCACAGACAGCCAGGAUGUUGGCUUAGAAGCAGCCAUCAUUUAAAGAAAGCGUAAUAGCUCACUGGUCGAGUCGGCCUGCGCGGAAGAUGUAACGGGGCUAAACCAUGCACCGAAGCUGCGGCAGCGACACUAUGUGUUGUUGGGUAGGGGAGCGUUCUGUAAGCCUGCGAAGGUGUGCUGUGAGGCAUGCUGGAGGUAUCAGAAGUGCGAAUGCUGACAUAAGUAACGAUAAAGCGGGUGAAAAGCCCGCUCGCCGGAAGACCAAGGGUUCCUGUCCAACGUUAAUCGGGGCAGGGUGAGUCGACCCCUAAGGCGAGGCCGAAAGGCGUAGUCGAUGGGAAACAGGUUAAUAUUCCUGUACUUGGUGUUACUGCGAAGGGGGGACGGAGAAGGCUAUGUUAGCCGGGCGACGGUUGUCCCGGUUUAAGCAUGUAGGCUGGUUGUCCAGGCAAAUCCGGAUAAUCAAGGCUGAGGUGUGAUGACGAGGCACUACGGUGCUGAAGUAACAAAUGCCCUGCUUCCAGGAAAAGCCUCUAAGCAUCAGGUAACAUCAAAUCGUACCCCAAACCGACACAGGUGGUCAGGUAGAGAAUACCAAGGCGCUUGAGAGAACUCGGGUGAAGGAACUAGGCAAAAUGGUGCCGUAACUUCGGGAGAAGGCACGCUGGUGUGUAGGUGAAGUCCCUGCGGAUGGAGCUGAGACCAGUCGAAGAUACCAGCUGGCUGCAACUGUUUAUUAAAAACACAGCACUGUGCAAACACGAAAGUGGACGUAUACGGUGUGACGCCUGCCCGGUGCCGGAAGGUUAAUUGAUGGGGUUAUCCGUAAGGAGAAGCUCUUGAUCGAAGCCCCGGUAAACGGCGGCCGUAACUAUAACGGUCCUAAGGUAGCGAAAUUCCUUGUCGGGUAAGUUCCGACCUGCACGAAUGGCGUAAUGAUGGCCAGGCUGUCUCCACCCGAGACUCAGUGAAAUUGAACUCGCUGUGAAGAUGCAGUGUACCCGCGGCAAGACGGAAAGACCCCGUGAACCUUUACUAUAGCUUGACACUGAACAUUGAGCCUUGAUGUGUAGGAUAGGUGGGAGGCUUUGAAGCGUGGACGCCAGUCUGCGUGGAGCCAACCUUGAAAUACCACCCUUUAAUGUUUGAUGUUCUAACGUUGGCCCCUGACCGGGGUUGCGGACAGUGUCUGGUGGGUAGUUUGACUGGGGCGGUCUCCUCCCAAAGCGUAACGGAGGAGCACGAAGGUUAGCUAAUCCUGGUCGGACAUCAGGAGGUUAGUGCAAUGGCAUAAGCUAGCUUGACUGCGAGCGUGACGGCGCGAGCAGGUGCGAAAGCAGGUCAUAGUGAUCCGGUGGUUCUGAAUGGAAGGGCCAUCGCUCAACGGAUAAAAGGUACUCCGGGGAUAACAGGCUGAUACCGCCCAAGAGUUCAUAUCGACGGCGGUGUUUGGCACCUCGAUGUCGGCUCAUCACAUCCUGGGGCUGAAGUAGGUCCCAAGGGUAUGGCUGUUCGCCAUUUAAAGUGGUACGCGAGCUGGGUUUAGAACGUCGUGAGACAGUUCGGUCCCUAUCUGCCGUGGGCGCUGGAGAAUUGAGGGGGGCUGCUCCUAGUACGAGAGGACCGGAGUGGACGCAUCACUGGUGUUCGGGUUGUCAUGCCAAUGGCACUGCCCGGUAGCUAAAUGCGGAAGAGAUAAGUGCUGAAAGCAUCUAAGCACGAAACUUGCCCCGAGAUGAGUUCUCCCUGAGACUUUAAGUCUCCUGAAGGAACGUUGAAGACGACGACGUUGAUAGGCCGGGUGUGUAAGCGCAGCGAUGCGUUGAGCUAACCGGUACUAAUGAACCGUGAGGCUUAACCUUACAACGCCGAAG
rnacentral:rRNA from 2 species